rnacentral:misc_RNA from 1 species
AGCAGCCGCGGUAAUUCCAGCUCCAAUAGCGUAUAUUAAAGUUGUUGCAGUUAAAAAGCUCGUAGUUGAAUUUCGGGAUCAAAGAAUCGGUCAUGCCUUGGUAUGUACUGGUUUUAUUGGUUCUCACCUUCUAAAGAACCAUGAUGUCAUUCAUUUGAUGUUAUGGGGAAUUAGGACUGUUACCUUGAAAAAAUUAGAGUGUUUAAAGCAAGCUUACGCUUGAAUACAUUAGCAUGGAAUAAUGAAAUAGGACAUCAGAUUCUAUUUUGUUGGUUUCUAGGAUCGAUGUAAUGAUUAAUAGGGAUAGUUGGGGGCAUUAGUAUUCAAUUGCCAGAGGUGAAAUUCUUGGAUUUAUUGAAGACUAACUACUGCGAAAGCAUUUGCCAAGGAUGUUUUCAUUAAUCAAGAACGAAAGUUAGGGGAUCGAAGACGAUCAGAUACCGUCGUAGUCUUAACCAUAAACUAUGCCGACUAGGGAUCGGAUGAUGUUAAUUUUUUAAUGACUCAUUCGGCACCUUAC